rnacentral:snoRNA from 1 species
CCCCUCUCAGAGUCGUACCUGGAGAGUUUCCAAUACUCUACCAGUCUUGACUAUGGGAGGGAGAGUGAAGCAGAAGCAUAUCCUUUCCAUUCCUAGCUUGACGAGUGGCUAGCGAGUGGAAGACAAUCUGCUACAAGU